AGAAACUUAGGCUAACAAGACCCUGGACCUUCAAAGCCCACAGUAGAAGUUAAACUCUUCUAGUUUCUG
rnacentral:tRNA from 1 species